rnacentral:misc_RNA from 1 species
AAGUGAUAACCAGAAAUAUAAACAAAAAUGUCAAUCUUACAAGGGACCUGAAAAUUAAAUGAAACAAGGUUGGGACAAUCUUCAAUUAAAUGUAACAAGGUUGUCAAGCAUCAAAUGCAACCUAUGUUGCAAUUUGCAACAAGGUUUUUUCACAUUUCUUAAUUAUUUGGGAAAGAAAAAUGUCAACCAUAGGAAGAAGUAAAUAACACAUAAAAAAAU